rnacentral:rRNA from 1 species
AUACGUAGGUGGCGAGCGUUGUUCGGAUUUAUUGGGCGUAAAGGGUCUUUAGGAGGUUCGUUAAAUGCGGGGUGAAAUCCGGGGGCUCAACUCCCGAACUGCCCUGUAGACUGAUGGACUAGGGUACUGGAGAGGUAAGCGGAAUACCACGUGUAGCGGUGGAAUGCGUAGAUAUUUGGUAGAACACCGAGAGCGAAGGCAGCUUACUGGACUUUAACCGACUCUGAAGGACGAAAGCGUGGGGAGCAAACAGGAUUAGAUACCCUGGUAGUCCACGCCGUAAACGUUGUCAACUUGAUGUGGGUGGAUUUUGACCCAUCCGUAUCGAAGCUAACGCGAUAAGUUGACCGCCUGGGGACUACGGCCGCAAGGCUAAAACUCAAAUGAAUUGGCGGGG